CUCACACUGGCAGUUUGAAUCUCUAUACAGCAGCCGUCUGUAUUCCAGGUCUUAGCUAAUUAUUACCCACACUUACCCUUUUCAUUUUGCAUGUAUCAGGUGUGUUUCUAGAGUUAAAAGGUGUCAUAAGCAUCGUCAUCUGUGCUUUGACAGAUGGAAAACACAGAAACGUGAGGUUAUCUCCACGGCAAUCAGUUACUUAUCUAUUGCUCGCACCAAGUCCAGAGGUCAGGGCUGUCAUAUCUUCCUUUUUCACAAACAGAGGGACGUGUUUUACUCACUUUCUGUCUGCGUGCUGUGUUCGUUCGUAACAGCCAUGGGUUGGGUGAAGGAGUUGCAGAAAAAGAAGAUCAUUUUGAACUUAGAGGUUAAAUGCAGUGCAAGAGCAAUAUGAAAUAAUAAAUAAUAAAUAAUAAAAUAAUUUGUUAUUCUUUGAAAUAUUUUUAAAACAACCUUCAAUCACACAGAUCAGAAAACAGCCUGGUGCUAUUUAAGUUAAACCUGAUACGCAAAGAUUUGAUGAAUGGUAUAAAUAAUAGUAUUUUCAUCCAAAUCAUUUCUUUUGUUGUGGAAAUGUAGAAUUGCUCCAUUUAUAAAUAUUUAUAAUUGCUUAGAUGAUAAUUGCUCCCAACUGUGUUCCCAUAAAUGUUUGUUUUUACUGAACCAUAUGGUAGUUUAACUUGAAAUCAGAUGUGAACCAUCUACAGACCAAGUUAACACAGUUCCACUGCAACAGCUUCAACAGAAUUUCCAUUUGUCUGUUAGGAGUGUCACAGAAACACAGUGAACGGGAAUAGUGACAUGCUGUAACAGAACAGGAAUGUAAAAGACAAGCCACCGGUAGCUUUGCACUAAAUUGGACCGAUAGGUGUGUUAUGUUACACCUCGUUGUAAUCAGAUAAGAAAAUUGCUGAUGGCCCAGGCUGUGCUUUUUCUUUUUAAAACUACUUUAGCUGAUACGUAACAAAUUCUAGCACAGCGGUUCCUCGUGCACACUAGACCACAGAACCCCAGUUUGAAAGGAUUGUGUCUUUUUAUUUAUAGGUUUGAAGACAAAAGCCUUCAUUGACUACCAUAGACAAACCAUGAUCAAACAAUCAAUAAAACAGCCAAUGAUAUUUCUUCCUCUGUUGCUCUAACUUGCAAAUAUAUUAUAUAUAAUAUAUAUAAUACUUCUCUUGCUGGGGACCCCCUACAACCCACUCAAGGACCCCUGUUGGUCCCCAAUCCCCAGUUUUAAAACCACAUGACUCUCAAAUUAAGAUUGACUUUUGUUUCACAACGAUAGGUUGUGCAUAAAAAGAGAUGGCUAUCAAGACUGUUUUAUUGUAAGGAUUCAAGGUAAGGAUUUGUUUAUGUCAGCACACACUCACAAGGAAAUGUGUGUGUGUGUGUGUGUGUGUGUGUGUGUGUUUCUGUGUCACAGAUAGGUGUCUUGGCUGUAUUGAUUGUGACCCUAAUCCUCGGUCUUGGACUUGGUCUUGGAUUAGACAAAGGUGUUGUCUCACUCACUCACACAUACACACACACACACACACACAC
rnacentral:lncRNA from 15 species